CAGCUUCCAUACCCAUCAUCCACAGAGAUGUGAAGACUGCAAAUAUACUCUUGGAUGAAACUUACACUGCCAAAGUGUCUGACUUUGGAGCUUCUAGAUUGGUUCCUCUUGACCAAACUGAAAUAGCCACAAUUGUGCAAGGAACCUUUGGGUAUUUAGACCCAGAGUACAUGCAAUCAAGUCAGUUGACAGAAAAGAGUGAUGUCUAUAGCUUUGGGGUAGUGCUUGUAGAACUACUAACAGGGGAGAAACCGUUCUGUUUUGACAGGGCAGAAGAGAAACGAAGUCUUACGGUUCACUUUCUAUGUAGCUUGAAAGAGGAUCGUCUAUUUGAUGUUCUUCAGGUGGGUAUUUUGGAUGAAGAAAACAAGCAGGAGCUUAUGGAGGUUGCUAUUCUUGCUGCUAGGUGCCUGAGACUUACAGGGGAGGAAAGGCCUAGCAUGAAGGAAGUGGCAAUGGAAUUAGAGGGAAUAAAGCUUAUAGAGAAACACCCUUGGAUCAAUACAGGCAAAAACUUUGAGGAGGGUCAAUACUUGCUUCAUGAGGCACAAAGCUCCCAUGAACAUGGUGAUAGUAGUAGUGCCCAACAAAAUACUGGAUAUGAUAGCUUGAGAGCACUUGAAUUAAUUGACUUUGGUAAUGGAAGAUGAUCAGCGCUCAUGACAGAACAACAUGCAGUUCCACUUCAGUUUAUUUCAAUAAACAAACAUAUUUCUACAAUCAUUAUUUCAUGUAGUUAGCAUGGUUAUAAAUGAAUUAUGUUUGAUGUUUUGUGUAACAUAUUUCUACCUUUUUUGCCAAAUUACUUUUGUCCAUUUUUUUUACUCAUUUUAACAUCUUUGUUCCUUUUUUUAUUUACUUUUAUCUGCAAGAGAAAACAAGUUGAAACAUAAUUUUGAUUCGAAAAUUGCUUACAAAUGUAUUAGUAGUUACACGAAAUUGAAAUGCAAGUCUAUUUAUGCGUAGUGAAGAACAAAUAAAUUUUGAGAAAUAGAAAACUUACACUUUUGUUAAAGGAAAGUGAAGACAGAGAGUGUGAUAUUUUUGUGUGGAUUUACAUUAAUAUCCUCAUUUGUGUUUUGCAAUCUUAAAUAAGAGUGUAUUGACAAAGUUAACACUCUUCAUGGCCAUUGGUUAUCAGUCAAAGAUAAAAUUCCUAAGAUGAUAAAGAGAAAUAUUUGACUUGAUGUAUAAAGUUGAUCUUUGUUAGGAUUACUUCAUUAAAAUAUUGUUCAGACUUCUAGAACAUCUAAGCAUAUCCAAGAACAUCUAAGAUAGGUGUCUUCUAGUAUCAAUGUUGAUUGUCUUAGUAGAGCAUCUAGUCAUUUAGUAUCUAUUAAGACUAAUUCUAUAUUGAGAAUCUGUUACCUACCUUUUAAAGUUAUAUGUUUGGUUGAUUAAUUUUGGGAUUAUUUUUGUCUAGAAAAAAAAGUGUGAAUAAGAUUUUGUAAAUAAAGUAAAUUAAUCCAAGUACAUACUAAAAAUGUUAUUUCUCACUGUGAAGUGAUGUGGGAAAAUGGACAUUUUUUCAUGAAUAUUAAAAAAAUUCUAUAAAAGGUUUUCAUAUCAACAUUUUACUUUCUAUUUAUUUUACUUGUUUUGUUGAAAGAUAAUAGUAAUACCAGCGUUGAAAGUGUAAUUUUUCUAUAUAUCGUAAUCCAAUCACAAACCUUUAUGUAUGAUAAAUUUAUUGACUUUUAUUAAUUUUUUAAAAUUAUAUUAAUAGUAUAAAUAUUCUUACCCUAAAAAUCCAUGUCUAUUAAACUCCAGUAUAGUUAUAUAAUCAAAUUUUGAGUGAUAUUAGAUUUAUCUUCUUAAAUACAAUUUUAGAUUCGCAGUUAGUUAGAUUUUUUUUCAUGUAAAUUAAUAACUACCAAAGUAAAUAGAUAGUUUAUUUGAUUUAAUAUAAUUUUAAAAAUAUUUAUAUAAUUUUCACAAUAACAAAUAAUAAAGUGUAACUACUUUCUUUAAUUUGUGGUGAAAUAUCAAAGGAACUGCAUUCAAGGUAUAUCAGCUUCACAGAACUAAUAUUUUUAAUAAUUUUUCUCAGAAUUUUCAGUUUUUUCUCUUUUUCAUUUCAAAUGGUUAUGUCGUUUAAGGCAGUUGCUUCCUGCACCCCUGCAUAUUUUUUCCUGCACCCCACAAUAUUAUGCAAAGACCAAACUGUUCCUGUUAUUUUUAAAAAACCCUAAAAUGCACUUGAACUGUAUUUAUCUUUUUGCAUUAUGGAUUAUGGAAUCCAGAAAAAUUUCGGAUUGGCACUUCCAGUAAAAUUUCAUAUCCAUCAAUCCGUAAUUCAAAAUAUGCAUUUCAUGUCCCAAAAUUCAUCAUUCAAAAAAAGCAUUCUGGAUCCAUCAAUCAGUAACAGAAAUAUGCAUUAUGGAUUUAGAAAUCCAUAAUUAAAAAAAAAAAAUUCCGAAUCCACCAAUCCGUAACAGAAUUAGGCUUCCAGAUUCAGCAAUCCAAAAAUGAAUAAUUUAUGCAAAAAUUGCUUUUGGAACACCCCCUCAUCCAGAAAAAAAUAUUCAGUUCUGGAUUGAUGAAUCCGUAGCACACUCCCAAAUCCCUAUUUCCGAUAAUCACAAUGCCCUUUUUCAAAUAAAAGAUUUGGGGUUUAGAAAAUUGUGGGGUGUGGGAAGAAAAAUGUAGGGGUGCAGGAAGAAGAAGCCAUCUUUUAAAUGCCAUUGCACUCAUUUAAGCUUUCUUGUAGCUCAAUUGAUAAGGCCCAUUUGCGGCUUUCUUCUGCAAAAGACCGUUCUUCGUUUGUCAAGGCUCGGGAUCACAAGAUAUUUGUUGAUAUUUUCCACUUAACUCUAGGUAUGAUUAUCCUUUUGUAUACUUCAUUUUUUCUGUAGCAUUUAUGAUUUGUUCACCACAUUAUUGUCAAGAAAAUAUUACAUUUAGGCUGAAAUUGGUUUGUUGAAAAUUUCAUUUAAGGUUGCAAGUUGAUUUUACCAAAUAUAAAUCAUUCUUCUUGCUACUAGUAAAUUGUAAUGGAUAAAUUAUUAUAUUAUAAUAUUCAUAUUUAAUUUAUAGUGCUCACAUUAAUGGAGAAGCUAUAGUUUGGAUAUUAUGUGAUGAAACAUAUGCAUAAAACUAUAUUGACCAACAUUAAGGGUCCGUGGAAGGAGAUAAUAUACAACUAACUCAAAUAUGUUAAAUAUAUUAAAUAUGUUAAAUGUUAAUUUCAUCUUCAAUAUUUAGUUAUAUACUAGUGAUCCAUCUGAGGAAGGCUUACAAGAGGUUUGAGAGUAGUUGACAUUAUUUCUUUUAAGUAUUUACAUAGUUAUAACUAGUUAACAAUUUUAUAUGAAUAUUAAAUGUUAGUAAAUUUUAUAAUUAUUAUGCUAGAUUUUAUUUUGAAAACAUUUACUUGAGCUUAUUAUAUAUGGCAAAAUAAAUAUAUCAAAAAAAAAUAACACUUUCUAUAAUUGAUUUAUUUUUUGUAUGGAAUAUGUUCUCUCUUUAUGCAAUUACAUUCGAUUAGUUUCUACAACAUUUUGCAUUCUAUUAUUCUCUUUUUUAAGACAGUUCUUUUAUGUUUGAUGUAAAAUCGAUAUAAAAAGGUAAUUUCUCUAUUCUUUUCUCUUCCUUCUUUUCUCUUCCUAACUAUCAAUUCUCCUCCAGACAUGUAACUUGAUAAGGACCUAUUCAUUUGCUUUAAAGUUAGUGGAAAUUAAUUUAAACAGGACUGAAAUUUAAAAUUCAAUUAAAAUAAAAUAUGUAUCCAAGUUUAACUAUUAUGUUUUCAUCAAAAACAUAUAUCAUGAUAAGAAAAAUGACGAAUAUUGACUAAGCGGUUAAGUCUCUGCCAAGAAUUAACAGAUGUAAAAUUAAACAUAUUUAAAUUGUUAAUAAUAAAAAAUUGUCAUACAAUAAUAUAAAACAAUAAUAAUGGAAAUAUUUAAUUAUUUGGUAACCCAGUGGAUACAUCAAUAUUUUUUUUCAGCCAUCUACAUGAUAAUCUUAUGUUAAAAGGUACAGUAUUAGUUAUAAAUAUGAACCUAAUGGAUACAUAUGUAUCCUUUGUCAAAGAUCAGAACAAGUCAAAAAGAAUUAAUCAAAUAGAUUUAUAAUAUAUGCAGUGUAUCAACAUGUCAAUUUCCAAUUAAAAUAAUCAUAUAAAAGAAUUUAUCAUGGAAAGAUGAACAUGUGUGUGAUGUUUUAACUGUCAUGUGUUGACAUGUCAAAGUAUAUAUUCUGAUAAACCAUAUGAAUGCCAAGUCUUUGGGUACUUUUAAAGCAUGUAUGAAGUUUUUUUUUUAUGUUUUCAUGUCUACAAUUUCUUUAAUUCAACUUAAGUUUUAUUAGUUUUGUAUUUUUUACCUUUGGACCAGGUUUCAUUCUUUGGCUAUUAUGUUUCUUCUCACUUUUAUUUAUUCUUCAUCCACGUUUACGCCAUGUGUAAAUUUGAAAAUAAUAAAAAGUAAUAGAAACUUGCUCUGCCACAACUAUGGUGAAGAAUUCAUUAAACUUUAUAAAACCUUAAUAAAGUGAGGCUGCAUUUCACUUCCAUAUUGUUUUUAUAACUAAUAUUUGUUCACGUUGUAAUUAGUUACUAAAAUUUUAACAUAAUUAAUAGUUAUCUUGGUAAUUAAUAGAUAUUAAUUUAAAAAUUAUUUAUUAAUAAUAUAAAUUAAUUUAAAUAUUAACAAUUUUUUUAAUUUUUAAAAUAGUAUCUAAUUUAGUCAAUAUAUCAAUUAAUCAUUUUUGUUUUAAUUUGAUGAUUUUCUAAUAAUGUAUAUGAUUAAUCAUUUGGUUAGUCCAAUCUUUAACAACAUCUAAUGUUUGAAUACAUGGAUUAUCAUCACCACAUGUCUUCUCACUCUCUCUAUUAACGAGUUCCAUCCAUAUACAACACUUUUCCUUCUCUACUGUAUCUUUUUUCUAGUUAUCAACUAUCUUUGCAACUUUCACAUGGACACCUCCAUUUGCAACAAUCUUGUAUCAUUCAUGGACUAUUAUUAGCUUACAAUGCUCUCACAAGGACUUGAUGGUUAUGGUCAAAACGACAAAGACAAAGACAAUACUAAAAAUUCAACUUUACUUCCUCACGCAUCUACCAAACAUAACCCUCAAAGAAGACGUAGACGACAAAAAAGAAGAGUACCUUAUGGCACGAUCUCUCAUAAAUAAAUUAUUUCCCUAUUGUAAUAGUACUAAUUAUCAAUUUUAAUUUUAAUUUCAAUUCCUAACUUACCUCUUAUUUUUUAUAAAUACAUAAAUAAUCAAAACAAUAAAAUAAACACAAAGUAUGUUAACAUAUUUAGUUUUUUUUUUAAGUUAUUGGACUUUGUUAGUUUGGCCCUUUUUAAGACUAAUUAAGACAUGUUUAAUUGUAGUAUAAGUAGUAAAAACGUUCAAAUUGUGGUAAACAUGACCGUGACACCAUAAUCAAUAAUCCAAGAUUCUUUUAUAGCAGACAGUGAAGAGAGAAACUUACUUGUUGAAGAUUGCUUAGUAUUGGGGAUUUCAUCCGCAGAGAAGGUGCCGACUUGAUUAAUUUGAGUGUGAGGGAUAGGAUCCUCAAGGUUUUGCUAACGCAAAAUGUUGGUCAGGAAUUGGCACUGCUGUGAUGUAAGUUGAAUCCCCUUUACAUCCUAUUCUUUAGGAAAAAACUCAAAAAAAGUGUCAGUAGUAAUCAUAUUAUUGGUUUGGGAUUUAGGGUUGAAAUCUUCACUUUGGCUCAACUAAAGACGUGGACGUGGCUUACCAGCAAAGAGAAUCUAACUGAAUUUACAUACACCCGCUGGUGCAUAAAUCCUACAGAAUGUAUGAAAUCUAUCCGGAAGAGAAGAUGAAGAAGGAGGGGUUUGUUUUAAUAGGAAGAAGUCUCGUAAAUUACAGCUGUAAACUUUUUUAGUUUUGUUGUCGUGAUGUUUCUGAGAUUAGUGCUACUAAUGCUCUUAGAGAGCUAGUAGUUAGUUGUUUGCAGAUCCAACUGAAGUCACGGCAAAGGCGAUUCAAAGCUUGUUUAUGGUUGAAAGAUAUGAUGAAUGUUCUGCUAGGCAAAAAUCUGACCUAUAAGCCCAUGUCCAAAUAUUGUCAAUGCUGGUCAACGUUAUGCAGUUUCUUGCACGUUUUGUGUGGUUAGUUGACCAGCUAUUGGUGCUUAAAAGAUGAGGAUGUGCGAAGAUUUUUGUAGCUUUUGGAAGUAGACUAGCAGCAGAGGUCGUGCCUCACUUUGACAAUAAAAUGUAGUGCACAAGGUUUGGUAUUGCUGCAAUGGGUAGGGAGCUAGCUAGAUUUCAAGUUUUUAGAUUGUUAAAAUUCUAGUGGCUAGAUAGCCAUCAAGUUUUUGGUUUGCUGUUUUUUGCAAAACCAAUUUUGUUUGGGUAGGGGCUACUUAAAUAGUUUAAGAUUCUUGAGUUAAGUGGUGUGUCACUUAAUCUUGAUUUGCUUUGUUGAUUUUUAUUCUAUUAAUUCAUUGCUGAUAAAAAAAAGUAAUUAUAUUAUUGGUUUGGAAUGUCCAAUUGGUGAAUUUGUAGCCAGGAGGAAACCCAUACUUUUUAUAAAAAUAGCUUUGAUACCAUAUUACAAAGUGAACUUUAAGCCUAACUCAACCCCAUAAAACCGACUCAUGAGGUGAGGUUUGCACCCACUUAUAUAUAAUCAAUUGUCCUCAUCUCUAAUCGAUGUGAGAUCUCCAACAAAGUAAUAAAAAAAAUAUAUAUAUAUAAAUACAUAAAAUAAACAAUUUAACUUUCAUAUGUUAAAGUUAAUCAGAAAACAUUUAUAUAAACACAUGCACUUCCAAACUUCAUCAUUUAAAAGAAAAAAAUACAAACAAUAAUGAAGCAAGUCGUGUUACCCUCAUAAAUACCAACAACACUAAACUCGAGACUUCCUGGCAUGACUUUAGCUAAAGUUCCAUAAUAGAAGGUUUUCCUCCCUGCAUAACUUCAGCUUCAACCCUAACUUCAUUUUAAUCGUGUCAUGUCUUUAUUUAUAAUUUUUUUUAAAAAUCAGAUAAUUAAAUUAAACAAAGUCGUGUUUGUAUACCAUCAACAUGAAAGUCGUUGUGGGAAAACAAGACUUCAAUUAGAUAAUCAAAUAUGAGGUUGAACUUAUAUUUAUAAAAGACAACUUAAAAUAGGUUUCUUUCAGUAAUAUCAAACCAAUGCAUUAUUUUCGUAAAUUUUCUCCACUUGUAUUUAAAAUCCAUGUAAAAACUCAUUCUUUCCUAAAUUUUUAUUUUUAAUUUAGGUUAAUUAGUGUUAUGUUUUUUAUAAUGUAAGACAAAUUUUUUAUUUUGAAAUUAUUAUAGCCGUAACUCUAUGAAAGAGCUGGCCCGGUCAAUCUAUAUUCCUCUCUUAGGUAUAAAUUGGAUCGAAAGUGGUAUUGAGCACAUAUAACAAAAAUGAGAAUUAAGGAGACGCAAAAGCAUCUGACCAGACUGACCGUGAUGUUACUGAUGGCUUUAGCAGCAGCCAGCCAAGCCCUGCCCGGCUGCCAGGACUCCUGCGGAAGUGUUUCAUCAAUUCCGUAUCCAUUUGGCAUCGGCAAUUCAUCGGUCACCGGUCAUAACUGUUUUCAGGAGAAAGAAUUGGAGCUUACAUGCAGAAACUCAACCUUAUAUCGCGGCCAAGGUAACGCCCAAAUUAUUAACAUAAGCCUCGCUGGUAAAAUAGACAUGCUCAUGUUCAUCUCCAAGGUUUGCAAAAACGAAUCGCAAGGUAACCGCCCCAGUCUCAGAUCACCGGCUUUCACAAUUUCUAGUGAAGACAACAAGUUCGUAAGCGUAGGGUGCGACACUUACGGCUAUCUCAACAGUUUUCGCAACGGUACAACAUCUUCAACGGGGUGCUUGACGAGACGCGACAGCUUAGAGAGCGUUGAAAGCAUGCAGAAGCGGAAACUGUACGGGCAUAGGGUGUUGCCAGGUCGACAUUCCUCCUGGGAUGAAGAAUAUUAGCUUGCGAGCAUACAGCUUCAACAAUUUCAAUUCCACUUCCGAUUUCAACAAGUGUGGAUACUCCUUUGUGGUAAAAAUGGCAACUACAGUUUCUCCGUCGAUCAUUUGAAGGGCAUCAACUUCACUAUGGCACCCAUGGUCAUGGAGUGGAGUGUAGGAAACGACACGUGCGACGCUUCCAUGCAUACAGCAGAUUAUGCAUGCAAGAGUGAUAAUAGCUAUUGUCAGAACUCGCCCUAUGAAUAUGGUUACCGAUGCCAAUGUAAUCCAGACUUUGAGGGAAACCCAUACCUUCUCCAUGGUUGCCAAGGUAAUUCAUUCAUUUAUCACUUAAUUAUGCUAACCUUCAUUCUACAUUCAGACAAAUUUAAGAAGUUUUCUGAACUAAAAUUAACUUACAAAUUUUUCUCAACCUAUCCUAAUCCACUCAAAUGACGUCACCUCAGUGUGUUCAAACAGCUGGCCAUUGAAAUAUAUAUAGCAUGAUGGGUUGACUUAUAAGUCUCUUUAGAGAUUUCAUGAAUGACAUAAUAAGUUAUAUUAUAAUUAGAAUCAAAAGAAAUAUAUUUAUUAGUUUAAGCAGCUUUUUUGACUGAAAAUGUAUUAGGGAGUUUCUUACGGCGUGCUUUUGAACUAGUUAUUUGUGUGGCCUUUGUAGACAUUCCGGAGUGUGCACGUAACCAACACAAUUGCGAUAGUGAAGAUCAUUGUAGAGAAACUUCUGGCUCUUUUGAAUGUUUCUGUCCUGACGGACUCAUCGGAAAUGGGACAAAAGAAGGCGGAGGAUGCCACACAAAGCAGCCGCAUGAUCCAUUUAACAAAAUCAUCAUUGGUAAGCAAAUUACAAUUUCGUUUCAGUUUUGUUUUCCUUACCUUAAACCACUAAUAUUUUUAAUUACACAAGCCUGGUGAUAUUUUCACAAUCUAAAUUUGUAAUAUAACUUUCCCAUAACUCAUUUUGUUCAUUAAAAGAUAGUUAUCAUUUUGUUCUCUUAACAAAAUGGCUAUUCAAUACAAAAUUAAUAAAUAAGUUGUAUGAUUAUAUAAAAAUGAAUUACAAAGGAAACACUUAUUUAAUAAUCAAUAUUUAAUAGUUUAAUUGUUUUACUUAAAAUAUUAAUAUACAUUAUUAAAUUAUUAAAGUGAAUGAUAAAGUAAUUAUUUUAUUUAGCUAAGUGAGAAAUUAUAUGUUUAACUUAUCUGUGUUUAUGUUUUGUCAUAUUAAUAGUGACAAAGUUGUUCACCUCUUCCAGUUAAAAAUUAAUAUUGAUGGUGUUAAAUAUGAGUUUUUUUAGUUUAUGGCUUGAAUGUCCUUGAUUUGUUCUGUUUUUUUACUACUAGUUUUUCUAGUUUACUUAUUUCUUCGUAAUAAGUGGAACAAAUGCCUUGAUUAUUAUGAGAAAUCAAAUUUGGAUUUUUCACAUUUUUCGUGAAGACAAUGUUUGUGCUGACAAACUUGUUAACUUAGGUUUUAUCCAUAGGGAACAAUUUCAUUGGUAUAAUAAGGUUUUAUUCUUAAAAUUCUUUAUUAAUUAGUAUAGAUUACUUAAGCAUUUCUUUUCAUAGGUUUUAUUUUAUAGAUUUUGGCCUAGUCCCCCAUAUUUGCUUGUAUUUUUUUUUGUCAUUUUUUAAAAGUACUUUCCUCAUGUGGUGACAGAUAAUUGUUGAAACUUAACAUGCAAAUCUAGCUGACAUGUCAAGUUUUAUAAUGAUACCUAACACCGUAGUUUUUUUAUUAAAAAAUAAUUAUUUUAUUUUUUAAGAAUAUCAAACUAUUAUAUUUUAUAAACAAAAUUGGAUUGUUGAAAUAUCAUAUUUUAUUAUUAUUUUAUUAUAUUCAUAUUUUGGUAACAGGUGCAGGUGUAGGAUUAAUUGCUCUGUUUAUAGGAGUUUCUUGGCUAUACUUGAUGUACCAGAAAAGGAAAGUCUUGAAAUUAAAGGAGAAGUUCUUUCAGCAAAAUGGAGGCAUCAUUCUAAGACAGCAACUCUCCACUAGGGAAGACUCAUCUCAGUCCACUACAAUUUUCAGUGCAGAGCAACUUAAGAAAGCCACCAACAAUUUUGAUGAGAGCUUAAUCGUAGGUAAAGGAGGUUUCGGUACUGUUUUCAAAGGACUUCUCUCAAAUAACAAAGUUGUUGCUAUCAAAAAGUCCAAAAUAGUGGAUCAGAGCCAGGUGGAGCAAUUCAUUAAUGAGGUCAUUGUACUCUCACAAAUUAAUCACAGAAAUGUGGUCAAACUCUUGGGAUGUUGUCUAGAGACAGAAGUUCCCUUACUAGUUUAUGAAUUUGUUAACAAUGGCACCCUUUUUCAUUAUCUACAUAAACAAGGAGAGGUGGUCAAUGUGUCUUGGAAAAUGUGUUUAAGGAUAGCUACAGAGACAGCUGCAGCUCUGUCAUAUCUACACUCGGUAGCUUCCAUACCCAUCAUCCAUAGAGAUGUGAAGACUUCAAACAUACUUUUGGAUGAAACUUACAAUGCCAAAGUUUCUGACUUUGGAGCUUCAAGAUUGGUUCCUCUUGAACAAACUGAAAUAGCCACAAUUGUGCAAGGAACCUUUGGGUAUUUAGACCCAGAGUACAUGCAAUCAAGUCAGUUGACUGAAAAGAGUGAUGUUUAUAGCUUUGGGGUAGUGCUUGUAGAACUGCUAACAGGGGAGAAACCUUUCUGUUUUGACAGGUCAGAAGAGAAACGAAGUCUCACGGUUCACUUUCUAUGUAGCUUGAAAGAAGAUCGUCUGAUUGAUGUUCUUCAGAUGGGUAUUUUAGAUGAAGAAAACAGGCAAGAGGUUGUGGAGGUUGCUAUUCUUGCUGCCAGGUGCCUUAGACUUACAGGGGAGGAAAGGCCUAGUAUGAAGGAAGUGGCAAUAGAAUUAGAGGGAAUAAAGCUUACGGAGAAACAUCCUUCGAUCAAAACAGGCAGAAACUUUGAGGUGGGUCAAUACUUGCUUCAUAAGACACAAAGCUCUCGUGAACAUGGUGAUAGUAGUAGUUCCCAACAAAAUACUGGAUAUGAUAGCUUGAGAGCACUUGAAUUAAUUGAGUUUGGUAAUGGAAGAUGAUGAGCGCUCACGACACAACAACCUGCAGUUCCACUUUAGUUUAUUUCAAUGAACAAACAUAUUUCUACAAUCAUUAUUUCAUGUAGUUAGCAUGGUUAUCAAUGAAUUUUGUUUGAUAUUUACUGUAAACCUUCUCCAAAAUUAGUUUUGCCCAUUUUUGUUGACUCGUUUUAACAUCUUUGCUGCCAUGUUUUAUUUACUUUUAUUUGCUCGAGAAAAAAACGGGGAAACGUAAUUUUGAUUUAUAUUUUUUCGAAAAUUGCUUACAAAUGUACUAGUAGUUACACGAGAUUGCAAUGCAAGUCUAUUUACAAGUAUUUCAAAAACAUGAUUGAAAAACAAAAAAAUUUUAAGAAAUAAAAGACUUACACUUUGUUAAAGGAAAGUGAAAACAAAUGUGAAAUUUUUUUUGUGGAUUUACAUUAAUAUCCUCUUUUUUAAAUCUUAGAUAGGAAUGCAUUGAUAACUCAACACUCUUCAUGGCAAUCGGUAUUAGUCAAAGACAAAAUCCUUACCAAGAUAAAGAUAAAUAUUUGACUUGGUGUAUAGUUGUCACUUAUAGAGUGUCUAACCUCAUUAGAGUGUAUAGAAGAUAUAUGUCUUCUAGUAUUAGUAUCAAUAGUGAAUUGUCUUAGUAGAACGUCUAGUCAUUUUGAUAUCUAUUAAGACUAGUUCUAUUUAAAGAAAUUGCCUUAAUGACAUUUCUACUCAAAAGUAUGAAGCAUUGUUCUCAUCUUCUAUGCAUGUGUAGGGAACUAACUAAUACAAAAACCUUCAAGUUGUAAUCUCUAGUCAUUGAUGACCAUCAAAUUUUCUUCGUCAAGUAUGGGCUUAAUGGAGUUAGGUUUGGUUUUUUUUUUUAGUGUUUAGGUUUGAGAGGAGGAAUUAAUCUUUUGUACUAAGCCACCAACUUUCGUAUUUUGAGUAAACGUUUGGCAGGGUUUCCUUUAGAUGAAAGUUUUAGGUUGGUUUGGCUAGGUGAGGGUAAGGCUUUUUGUGGAGGUGGUAUAGAUGAUGAGGUUUGUGCUUCCAUAUUCGUGCUUGGGAAGUUUGCUGAGAUAAACUUCCACUUGAUUUGCCAUGUGCAUCUUGGUGAGAGUGGAGGAGCUCCAUUCUCCACUGCCUUUGGUUGACAACUCUUGUGUUUGUAUGUCAUCUAGACACAUAAUCCUUGUGUAAGAAUUGAUGACUUAAAUAAGAGAGGUGGGGGUGAAUUGUUUAUAAAAGACUUUUGCAAAGACUUGAUUAAGAAUGAAUCUUUAUCAAACAAUCAUAGAUAAGCAAUUAAGGAAAGCAAUUAAACAAUGAUAUAGAAACUGUUUUCAGAAUUUUAAUAGGUUAAAAUCACGAUUUAACCUGUUGUUUAUAUCAGCUGCAGAAACAGAAUAAGAUCAAACAGUUGUAAGGUGAUAGAGAUAGAGAUAUUUACACAACAUGAGUUAUAUCGAUUCACUCACUCUUGAGCUACAUCCAAUUCUCAUAACAACCUCUGAGUUCCACUAGUAAUCAAAUCUAGAUUACAACAACACACCACAAAGAGGUGACCUUGAAACCCACAAGACCCACUCACCCUCUUUGCAACACCAAACACCUCAAGACAGAACACUCUCUGUCUUUACAGGAUUUCAAACACAAUUCCAGAUAAAGGAAAUAAAAUUACAAGAAUCUACACAAGGAUAGAAAACAGUUGAAUUCGCACAAUACAUGAAGCCUUAUGAUCAGAUCUUGUUACCAUAGCAAAGCUUGAACAACAAUCUUGCACUUUUAAAAACUCCUUUCAAAAACAAAUCUCUUUCUUUGAUCUCAAACUUGUAUCAAUACUUAUUGUAUUUGUUGUGUAUAUUGUUAUGAAAGAAAGGAUAUUAUAGCACUUGAAAUCUAGCCGUUUAAGGCAGUUUUAAUCAACUAAAUAAGUUAAAACAGGUUUUCCAAACAAUGUUGUGAAAACAUACAUUUAACUGGUUGAAACCACAAUUAACCGGUUGAAUGAGUCAGGAAGUUGCAUAACUAAUUCAAAAAACAGUUUGAAAACCUUUAAGCCAACUAAGUAACAAACAACCGAUUAUUUUGAUAAAUCAACCAGUUGUUUUCCCUUUGCUUGGAAAAACACUUUGUUUCUUUUAAAAGUGAUUGAUCAAGCUUUGUGCGGGAUUAAGAACUGAUCUUAACAAAGAUUCUAAACAACCUAAUCUAAACUCAAACCAGAAAGCAGCACAGCUUCAGGCUUCAUGUGGAUUUGAAACAUCAAAGCUCCCAUGUUCAACACCCUGUGCCCAACGUACAGUAGGGAAUAUGAGUCUUUCUUCUCUUCUGCACAAACUGAAAGAAGGAAACUUAUGGUUUUGAAAGACGAUUAUGAUAAACUCAGCACAAAGGAAACCUAACUCUAAUGAAAUUUUAAAUGAUCUAAUAACAUGCAAAUAAACUCAAAUACAAAAAACUAAAAGAACACAAAAGCUUAUAAUACUACAGCUUCUUCAAACAAUUCUCCUGAAAUUUGUUGUUGUUGGAUGAUGAUUGAUUUAUGGCAAGUGCACUGUUUUUUCAGAAGUAAUAAUUUAUCCCUAAGGAUGGAUAUCGAACCCAUAAGAAAUAGUUGAAUAAUUAAGUAAAAGAUUCACUAAAUAGAAAACAGAAUAAUAAAGUUUAUUGGGAGUUUGUUAUGAUUUCAAUAAUUAAAAAAAAAAAAACAAGUCAAAGAGUUUGUUGGUUCAAUUGGGAAAAUUGGGAUCGAGGUCCAUCCUUCUUACUCUUUUGUAUUCGGAUUAGUAUGGUAAUAUUCUAUCCUUUGAUUGAUAUUAAUGCCCAUAUAAAAAUCAUUUAUAUUGAUUCAUCGCAUAUAAAAUUAUUAAGAGAGUGAGAGGUGAGGCCAACUCACUAAGAAGGAGUUCAAGAGAGGCUACAUAAGAGACAACCCUAGAGAGAGCUCAAGAACUAGUAUUUAUGGCCAAAAAUAGUCAGGAUAACUCUGUUUAUCAAGUGUGAUCAUGUGCUUUGAAGAAUCCAAAUUCAAGGUGUUUGAUGAAAGGCUGGUGUUGCUGCUGUGUUUGGGUGGAAUCUGGGUAGAAUAAAGUGUGAUUCACUCCUUUGUUGAAUCUAAAACUGAUGUGAUUUAAAACCUUUUUUAAAUCAAGUGUUUUUUCAACUAAGUGAAAAACAACCUGUUGUUUUGUCGAAUCAAUCGGUUGUUUUACUCUUAGGAGUUUUUUAAAAGGUUCAAAACUGGUUUGGUUUGGUUGACUUAACUGUCAAGCCAAAACAAUCGGUUGUUUCGUGGUUUCAACCGAUUGUUUCUUUGAAAAUCCUAACAGAAUUUGUUUUGAAUGGUGAAUAUGCUCCUUCAUUAAUUACUUUGACCAAUCUUUGGAAAAUAUAAAUGGUUUGUUUAUGUUUUCAAAUAAGUAAGAAACAAUUUUGAGAAACACUAAAUAAGGCACUAUCUUCUUCUUACUCCAAUAUUGCAUCUUCCACCAUCUUAUUGUCCCAACUUGGGUCAGAAGUCACCGUUACCUAGCUCAGCAACAACUCAUGUUUAUCAUUACUUUAUAUAUCCUAAAUAAUUGCAUUAUAUGUUAGAUGUGGGCAUCAAAUUACGAGGAGAAAUUAACUUUAUUACUUCUCACUUUCACAAUGAAUUGGUUAUUAGAUGUAUUUUAAAAUAAAGGUCUUAAUUUAAAAUAUUUCAAAAUUAUGAGAAUUAAAUAUUAAAAAUUAUAACUAAAAAUAAAAUUGCAUAUGAAAUAUACGUAGAUCAAAAGAUAAAACAAAAAUAAAUCAGAUUUUCUAAAGUAUGAGUUUGUAAAAAAAACUAUAAAUUAUAUAAACCAACUACCAUCAAUCAUAAAAAAUAUGCAAAUAAUGUUGAAAUACUUAUUAUCCAAUAUUAGUUGUUAAAAUACUUAUUAUCCAAGGUUAUUUUGCUGAGUUUUUAAAAUAAUUUUUUGAAACUUUAGAAAACUUAUUUGUAAUGUAAAGUUAUAGUUUCAAAAUUUUAGAGAAUUUAGUUAUAAAAUAUAUUAAAACUAUGUAGUUUUUAAUUAUUUAUUUAUAAAUAGAUUUAAUUAUAUUUAUUUUUUGAAAUUUGAAAAUUUUGGAAUUUUUUAUUGAGGUUCUACAAUAAAUCUUUGAAAUUUAACGAAGGUUAAAAAAACAUCUGUUAUUUUGUUGAGAUUUUAGAAUAAACCUUUGAAACUUAACAAAAGGUUGAAAAAACUUUCGUUAAUUUGCUGAGGUUGUAGAAUAAACCUUUGGAACUUAUUGAAAGUUAAAAAAUCCUUUGUUAUUUUGUUGAGAUUUUAUAAUAAACUUUUGAAAUUUAACGAAAGUUAAAAAAAAUUUCACUGAAUUUUUAAAAUAAAUCUUUGAAAUUUAAUGAAUAUUAAAAAAAAUCCCGUUAUUUUGCUGAAUUUCAAAAUAACUUUUGUAACUUAACGAAUGUUAAAAAAACCUUUAUUAAUUAAAUCAAUUUUUAUGAUUAUAUUAAUUUCUCAUAAAACUUUUUUUUUUCUUAGUGUACAUUGGUAUAAAACGAUAAUAAUGGAAAUAUUUGAUUAUUUAGUAACCCAUGGAUACAUCAAUAUUUGUUUCAGUCAUCAACAUGUCAAUUUUAUGUUAAAUGAUACAAUAUUAGUUAUAAAUAUGAACCAAAUGGAUACCUCUAUGUCCUUUUUGUCAAAGAUAAAAAAACAAGUAGAAAAGAAUUAGAUAUAUAUCUAUGUCAUGUAUCCACAUCUCAAUUUCUAAUUAACAUAAUCGUAUAAAAGAACUUAUCAUGGAAAGAUGAACACGUGUGUGAUGCUUAUUCAUGUGUUGACAUGUCAAAAUAUAUAUGCUGAUAAAAAAAUUGUCAAAAAUAUAUAUAUCAAUUAUUAUCAUGCCCGGUAAAAGAAUUAAUAUAAACCACAUGAAUGCAAGUUUUGAGUACUUCAAAGCACAUGGAUGGCAAGUCUUUGCGCCAAGUCUUUACGUACUUUGAAUAUGUCUACAGUUGUAUUGUCUACGAGAUUUCUAAGCAUAAUAUUAGUAAUUGAGUUUAUUUCUAAUUUAAUUUAUAAAACUAAUAUUUAAUAUGAGAAUUACACUCCAUUUAUAUAUUAUAAUUUGCUGUUAUUUUUAGUUGAUAUAAAAUCUCUAACAUAUCUCCUCAUUUUAAGGAAUGAACAUCUCAAACGUAGAAUUAGAUAUUUAUGGGUGAAUUCGAUGACACUGUCAAAAUAAUCUCAAAGAACUUGAUCAGGACAUCUUUUGAAUAACUAUGAUAUUAUUAUAAUUAGUAAGUUUAAAUAUAUCUAACGCAAUUCUACAAAACUAACUUGUGAGGGGAGGAUUCUAUCCUACUUAUAGAAAAAAUUAGAAGCCUAUUUGUAUAUUUUGAGAAACUUAUAAAUAGGUGGAUUUGAGAAAUAUUUUUAAAUUAAAGCAGAGUAUUACAGUCAAUGAAGAUGAAUAUUCCUUGUCUGAUGUGGUGCAUCAAAUGGAGCGCACGUAAUCGCAAUGGAGAAAGGGAGGUUCUGAUGAACCCUAAUUGCAAAUGAAAAAGAGACAACGACUUAAGCAUAAAAGAGAGAAAAGCAGAGAAAAGAAAAUACAAAAGAAAUUCUUAUUUACUUGUAUAUUAGAGAGUAAAAUACAUGGUGUAUAUAUAAGAAAAAGACUAAGACCUAGCUGAAACAGAAAAUGAAAUUUGGGUCAAACAAACAAAGCCCAAUAACUUAAAACAGAAAAACUAAAUAUGUCAACACAGAGUCAAGCUGAGGAGUAGAUAUUCGUCAGGCCCAGCUUGGAUUUGAGAGUAGAGAACUAUGCGAAAGCAAGGGGCUUGGUGAAUCAAGAUAAUAUCGAAGGUUACAUGUUACUUUUGUAGUAUUGUGUUUGAGAAUGGAUUACAUGUCUUUCUCUAGCUUGAAGAUAUUGGUCCAGUAAUACUUGAUUUUCCUCUAUAAAAUAUUUCAUAUUUGAAGUUACUAUCAAUUUUAAUUGUUGUUGUCCAAAGGAAACAUAUAUUGUUUAUGGAAGGUGUCACGUGCAACUUUACAAAGGCAACACACCUACGAGUACAAUCUGUCUAAUAAGGAAGAUGUUAGACCAAUGACAACUCAAACAGGUUCUUCAUCAAAUCGUAAUUACGUCUGAUGUUGACAACAUUUUAUAACUCUAUUAACGACCUUUUUUUCAUAUGUUUGGACUACUUACAUAAAGUUACUGUUACUCUUUUGAUUACUAUUAAUGUUUCUCCGAUUAGUCAAAAGCUUAUUCCUUUGAUAUAUUUUUUCCACAGUAGAAUUUUUUCAAGUUGAUCGAGUAAUGUGAGUUUUAAGUUUCGACAAACUACUUUAACAGACCAAUGAAACAUAGAUCAACUUCACAAAGAAAAUAUGAGAGACAUAACAUAUAAAUAUUGACUACAAUAUUAUGAAAAGUUGAUAGCAAUGUGGAAUGAUCGACAUAACCAUCUCAUUCAAGGAAUUCAGUUAAAAAAUGGUGAUCAUUUACAUGACACCACAACAUACAUGCAAUGGUACAUAUUGCCUCCACAACCAACAUAUUUAUCUAAAAUUUAUGAUUAUUUUUCCAAUAUAAUGGCGUGUCACAAGAGACUGAGCAACCACAACCACAACCUCAACCACAACCUCCUUUCUGCAUGUUGGUUCUUCUUCAUAUGUUCAACAAUUUCGUGAUCGUUCAUUUAAUCAGUCCAUCAAAUAUCUUUGCAACUCUCACAUUAACACCUCCAUUUGCACUCAACCUCAUAUCAUGUACGGUUGUUAUCCCACAAUGUCCUCACAAGGACCCAAUAAUCAUGGUGAGAACGACAAAGAUAAAGAAAAUAAUGAUGAUCCAAUUUGACCUCCUCACACACCAAACAUGACCCUCAAAGAAACGUUUUCUCAUACAUAAAUUAUUUUCCUUAAUAUAACAAUGUUCAAUGUUAAGUUUAAUUUUAAUUUCUAUUCAUAACUUUUGUCUUAUUUUUUUAUACAACAAAAUAUAUAUAAAAAAAAAAAUCCACUCUCCAACAAAUAUAAUCAAACAAAAAAAAUACAAAUACAUAAAGCUAAAAAAACAAUUUAAUUGUCAUGUUAACGGUAAGCGCAAAACAAUUCUAUAAACACAUGAUUUUUCAAACUUUCUCAUCAAAAAAGAAAAAGAAAAUAACAAACAACAAUGAAGCAAGUCACGUUGCCCCGGUAAACACCAACAAGACUGAAAUCGUGACGUGACCCUCUUACACAACUUUAGCCAAAGCUCUACCACAAGUGUCCCUUGCACACUUUCAGCUUCAAGUCCAAGUAUACUAAAAUCGUGUCCAUGACUUCAGUUUAUUUAAAAAAAAUAACAAAAAUAUUUAUUUCAUAUUUAUAUCUCCACUCUAUAAUCUAAUAAAUAUUAAUAUUUUAAUUAUUUAUAAAAAUUUAUAAUUCUUUUAAUUUUGAAACAUUUUAUAUUUUACUUGUAUAUUCAUUAAGAAUAUUUUUUUUUAAUUUUUUUUAUUAUAAAUAUUAAUAUUUAUUGUGGAGGUAGGAUGAGUAGGAGUGUUAAAAUAUCAUAACCAAUCGGAAAAUUACGCAUCCCAAUUAAUGGAUGGAAUAUGAGGAUGUAGUUGUGUUUUAUAAAAUAACUUUUUCUCAAAGUCUCGUCAUAGAAACAUGACUUAGUCAUGAACACAAUUUUUAAAAAUAUUUCUUUAGACUGAUAUCGAGAAAAAGAAAGCACCAAUUUCGUAAAUUUUUGUCGUAUAUUCGUAAUUCACGUGAAGACUCAUUCUUUCCUAUUUUUUUUUUUUAAUUUAGGAUAAAUUAAUUUUAUGUCUUUAUAAUUUAAGAAAAUUUUAUUUAAUUUUUUCUUUUCAAAUGACUAUAGCAGUGCGGUAUUAGUUUAGUCUAAGAGCUGCGCGGUCAAUCUAAAUUCCUCUAUUACCUAUAAAUUGGAUAGAAAUAGUACUAAGCACAUAUGCACAUAUGGCAACAAUGAGAUUAAAGGACACGCAAAAGCAAUUGAUCAGACUGACCGUGUUAUUACUGAUGGCUUUAGCAGCAGCCAGCCAAGCCCUGCCCGGCUGCCCGGACUCCUGCGGAAAUGUUUCAAUUCCGUAUCCGUUUGGCAUCGGCCAUUCAUCCAUCGAUAAAAAAAACUGUUUUCUUGAGGAACCAUUGGAGCUUACAUGCACAGACUCAGCCUUAUUUCAGGGUAACGUCCAAAUUCUCAACAUAAGCCUCGCCGGUAAAAUGGACGUGCUCACCUUCAUCGCCAGGGUUUGCAAAAACGAUUUGUUUGGUGGAGUAGAAACAUAUCGUACCGAAAGUUAUCUCAGAACACCGGCUUUCACAAUUUCUAGUGAGGACAACAAGUUCGUAAGCGUAGGCUGCGACACUUACGGCUAUCUCAACAGUUUCCACAACGGCACAGAAUCUUCAACGGGGUGCUUGACCAGAUGCAACAGCUUAGACAGCGUUGAAAGCAUGCAGAGAAGCGGAAACUGUACGGGCAUAGGGUGUUGCCAGGUCGACAUUCCUCCUGGGAUGAAGAAUAUUAGCUUGCAAGCAUACAGCUUCAACAAUUUCAACUCCACUUCCGAUUUCAACCAGUGCGGCUUCUCCUUUGUGGUCAAAAAUGGCAACUACACUUUCUCCCUCGAUCAUUUUAAAAGCAUGCCGUUCAAUCAGUCACUCACGGUCAUCGAUUGGAGUGUAGGAAACGGCACGUGCGACGCUUCCAUGCAUAGAGCAGGUUAUGCAUGCAAGAGUGCUAAUAGCUAUUGUGAUGACUCGCCCUAUGAAUAUGGUUACCGAUGCAAAUGUAAUCCAGGCUUUGACGGAAACGCAUACCUUCUCCAUGGUUGCCAAGGUAAUUCAUUCUUUUUAUCAGUUAAUUCUGCCAACAUUAAUUCUAUAUUCUGACAAAUUUAAGAAGAAACUUUCUGGAUUAAAAUUAACUUCAAAUUUUUCUACACCUAUCCUAAUCAACCCAAAUGAUUCAUUCCGAUAUGCUAAUUUUUAAUACUAUAAAGCAUGGUCACGUCACGUCACGGUGUUCAAACAGCCGGCCAUUGAAAUAUAUAUAGCAUGAUGGGUUGACUUAUAGGUCUCUUUAGAGAUUUCAUGAAUGACAUAAUAAGUUAUAUUAUAAUUACAAUCUAACGAAAGAUAUUUAUUAGUUUAAGCAGCCUUUUUCAUUGAAAAUGAAUUAGGGAGUUUCUUACGGCGUGCUUUUGAACUGAUUAUUUGUGUGGCCUUUAUAGACAUUCCGGAGUGUGCACGUAACCAACACAAUUGCGAUAGUGAAGAUCAUUGUAUAGAAACUUCUGGCUCUUUUGAAUGUUUCUGUCCUGACGGACUAAUCGGAAAUGGGACAAAAGAAGGCGGAGGAUGCCACCCAAAGCAGAAGGCUGAUCCAUUUAUCAAGAUCGUCAUUGGUAACCAAAUUAUAUUUUCGUUUCAGUUUUCUUUUUCUUCCCUUAAGCCACUAAUAUUUUAAUUGCACAAGCCUACUGAUCUUUCCACAAUCUAAUUUUUUAAUAAACUCUCCGAUAACUCAUUUUGUUAGUCAAUAACUUAAUUUAUAUUUUGAUCAAAUAUUCUAAUAUUAAAAGACACUUAUCAUUUUGUUGUAUUAAAAAAAAUGGUUAUUCAAUAUAAAAUUAAUAAAAUAAGUUGUACGAUUAAAAAGAAACACUUAUUUAACAAUAAAUAUAAAAUAGAUUAAUGGUUUUUACUUAAAAUAUUAUUAUAUAUUAUAAAAUUAUUAAAGUGAAUGAUAAAGUAAUAAUUUUAAUUUUUAAGGAUAUCAAACUCUUAUAUUUUAUAAAAUAAUUGGAUUGUUAAAAUAUCAUUAUCCUAUUUUAUAAUUAUUUCAUUCAUAUUUAUAUUUUUGUAACAGGUGCAUGUGUAGGAUUAAUUGCUCUAUUUAUAGGGGUUUCUUGGCUAUACUUGAUGUACCAGAAAAGGAAAGUUUUCAAAUUAAAGGAGAAGUUCUUUCAGCAAAAUGGAGGUAUCAUUCUGAGACAACAACUCUCCACUAGGGAAGACUCAUCUCAGUCCACUACAAUUUUUAGUGCAGAGCAACUUAAGAAAGCCACCAACAAUUUUGAUGAGAGCUUAAUCGUAGGUAAAGGAGGUUACGGUACAGUUUUCAAAGGACUUCUAUCAAAUAAUAAAGUUGUUGCUAUCAAAAAGUCCAAAAUAGUGGAUCAGAGCCAGGUGGAGCAAUUCAUUAAUGAGGUCAUUAUACUCUCACAAAUUAAUCACAGAAAUGUGGUCAAACUCUUGGGAUGUUGUCUAGAGACAGAAGUUCCCUUACUAGUUUAUGAAUUUGUUAACAAUGGCACCCUUUUUGAUUAUCUACAUAAACAAGGAGAGGUGGUCAAUGUGUCUUGGAAAACGCGUCUAAGGAUAGCUACAGAGACAGCUGCAGCUCUGUCAUAUCUACACUCAGCAGCUUCCAUACCCAUCAUCCAUAGAGAUGUGAAGACUGCAAACAUACUCUUGGAUGAAACUUACAUUGCCAAAGUGUCUGACUUUGGAGCUUCAAGAUUGGUUCCUCUUGACCAAACUGAAAUAGCCACAAUUGUGCAGGGAACCUUUGGGUAUUUAGACCCAGAGUACAUGCAAUCAAGCCAGUUGACUGAAAAGAGUGAUGUCUAUAGCUUUGGGGUAGUGCUUGUAGAACUGCUAACAGGCGAGAAACCUUUCUGUUUUAACAGGGCAGAAGAGAAACGAAGUCUCAC
rnacentral:lncRNA from 1 species